rnacentral:rRNA from 1 species
AUUGAACGCUGGCGGAAUGCUUUACACAUGCAAGUCGAGCGGCAGCACGGGGGCAACCCUGGUGGCGAGCGGCGAACGGGUGAGUAAUACAUCGGAACAUGCCCAGUCGUGGGGGAUAACACUUCGAAAGAAGUGCUAAUACCGCAUACGUCCUGAGGGGGAAAGCGGGGGAUCGCAAGACCUCGCGCGAUUGGAGUGGCCGAUGUCAGAUUAGCUAGUUGGUGGGGUAAAGGCCUACCAAGGCAACGAUCUGUAGCUGGUCUGAGAGGAUGAUCAGCCACACUGGGACUGAGACACGGCCCAGACUCCUACGGGAGGCAGCAGUGGGGAAUUUUGGACAAUGGGGGCAACCCCGAUCCAGCCAUUCCGCGUGAGUGAAGAAGGCCUUCGGGUUGUAAAGCUCUUUCGGCAGGAACGAAACGGUGAGCUCUAACAUAGCUUGCUAAUGACGGUACCUGAAGAAGAAGCACCGGCUAACUACGUG